GUGGGGAAUAUUGCGCAAUGGGGGCAACCCUGACGCAGCCAUGCCGCGUGAAUGAAGAAGGCCUUCGGGUUGUAAAGUUCUUUCGGUGACGAGGAAGGCGUGAUGUUUAAUAGGCAUCACGAUUGACGUUAAUCACAGAAGAAGCACCGGCUAACUCCGUGCCAGCAGCCGCGGUAAUACGGAGGGUGCAAGCGUUAAUCGGAAUAACUGGGCGUAAAGGGCACGCAGGCGGCUAUUUAAGUGAGGUGUGAAAUCCCCGGGCUUAACCUGGGAAUUGCAUUUCAGACUGGGUAGCUAGAGUACUUUAGGGAGGGGUAGAAUUCCACGUGUAGCGGUGAAAUGCGUAGAGAUGUGGAGGAAUACCGAAGGCGAAGGCAGCCCCUUGGGAAUGUACUGACGCUCAUGUGCGAAAGCGUGGGGAGCAAACAGGAUUAGAUACCCUAGUAGUCC
rnacentral:rRNA from 1 species